rnacentral:rRNA from 1 species
GUGGGGAGCAAACAGGAUUAGAUACCCUGGUAGUCCACGCCGUAAACGAUGUCUACUUGGAGGUUGUGGCCUUGAGCCGUGGCUUUCGGAGCUAACGCGUUAAGUAGACCGCCUGGGGAGUACGGUCGCAAGAUUAAAACUCAAAUGAAUUGACGGGGGCCCGCACAAGCGGUGGAGCAUGUGGUUUAAUUCGAUGCAACGCGAAGAACCUUACCUACUCUUGACAUCCAGAGAACUUAGCAGAGAUGCUUUGGUGCCUUCGGGAACUCUGAGACAGGUGCUGCAUGGCUGUCGUCAGCUCGUGUUGUGAAAUGUUGGGUUAAGUCCCGCAACGAGCGCAACCCUUAUCCUUGUUUGCCAGCGAGUAAUGUCGGGAACUCCAGGGAGACUGCCGGUGAUAAACCGGAGGAAGGUGGGGACGACGUCAAGUCAUCAUGGCCCUUACGAGUAGGGCUACACACGUGCUACAAUGGCGCAUACAGAGGGCGGCCAACUUGCGAAAGUGAGCGAAUCCCAAAAAGUGCGUCGUAGUCCGGAUUGGAGUCUGCAACUCGACUCCAUGAAGUCGGAAUCGCUAGUAAUCGUGGAUCAGAAUGCCACGGUGAAUACGUUCCCGGGCCUUGUACACACCGCCCGUCACACCAUGGGAGUGGGCUGCAAAAGAAGCAGGUAGUUUAACCUUCGGGAGGACGCUUGCCACUUUGUGGUUCAUGACUGGGGUGAAGUCGUAACAAGGUAGCGCUAGGGGAACCUGGCGCUGGAUCACCU